GAGUGGGAAUUUUUGAGCAUUCCAGAGAGGCCGUGGACUAUGCCCCAGAUAGAGUUGUCAGUGCUGACACCAGGCCAGGCCUUGAGAUACGGUCUCAUGGCCCCUUCCCAGCACAUAGGCCUUCUUUCAUAGAACACUGUCGGCUUUCUGGAGAACAGGAUGACCCUGUGAAUAACAUGGUCGUCAUUGGCAUGAUCCUGACGUUGCUUGGGAAAAACUGUUUUGUCUUGGGUUACUUGUUCUGCAAAAACCGGAUGUGGUUAAUGUGCUUAAAAGCGGUCCUACACAAAGGGUCGCUGCUGCUCUCUGGUCUCCCUGCAUGGAGAAUGGCAGAGCAGUCGCCAGGUCGCCCGGCCACCCGGCUAAUAAAGGCCCCCAACCUGUGCUCAAACCCUGCUUCGGGACCCACAACCUCUGCUCUGUGUUCAGAGUAUAUUGUGGGACCGGGCAUGCCUGUACCAAUAAACCCUUUGCUUUUUGCAUAAGAGGCGACUCUUGGUGCUUUGUAAGUGCGGCCAGCGUUCCGGGCGUUACAUUUGGAGGUUCCACCGAGAUUUGCUGCAGCCGCCUUCAGGCUCCAACAGACGCUUCUUGGGUUCUUACAGGCUUUACAGUCUACCCAGAAAGCAGUCCAGAAGCAUCUCUGAUCCGGUCCAUCCUUCCACCCUGGUGACUCUGACUGACUCCUACCUGGAAAGGACCACCUCCACAGCAGUCAAGGUCGACGAGAUCCCGACGUGGCUAAAGAGUCAAUGAUUUGACUCAUGUACAUAAAACCAGUGGGGAAUGUUGGAGAGUGGGAAUUUUUGAGCAUUCCAGAGAGGCCGUGGACUAUGCCCCAGAUAGAGAUGUCACUGCUGACACCAGGCCAGGCCUUGAGAUACGGUCUCAUGGCCCCUUCCCAGCACGUAGCCUUCUUUCAUAGAACACUGUCGGCUUUCUGGAGAACAGGAUGACCCUGUGAAUAACAUGGUCGUCAUUGGCAUAAUCCUGACGUUGCUUGGGAAAAACUGUUUUGUCUUGGGUUACUUGUUCUGCAAAAACCGGAUGUGGUUAAUGUGCUUAAAAGCGGUCCUACACAAAGGGUCGCUGCUGCUCUCUGGUCUCCCUGCAUGGAGAAUGGCAGAGCAGUCGCCAGGUCGCCCGGCCACCCGGCUAAUAAAGGCCCCCAACCUGUGCUCAAACCCUGCUUCGGGACCCACAACCUCUGCUCUGUGUUCAGAGUAUAUUGUGGGACCGGGCAUGCCUGUACCAAUAAACCCUUUGCUUUUUGCAUAA